AUCAUUCACACAACACAAUGGAGCACCGAGCUCCCGGCGGCCGCGCGCGCACCUCCUGGCUGCGCACCGGCAGCUGGCUGAGACCCAGUGGUCACGCCUUUAUCCUAGUGGGUCCCCCCCUCCCCGCCGUUCUGCACUUUGGGGAGCUCCCGGUGGAGCUGUGGGCGCCGUCGAGUCGCGGCUGCAGCCGGAGGAAGGGGCGAGAGGAAAGGUGAUGAAUUCCAUUAUCAGUCAUUCACCCCCACGCGGUAGUUCCGGGGAAGACCUGUGCGUGGUAGUGAAUGUGGCUUUUUUUUUCUUCCCCUCUUUUCCUGCCCCCUCCCAACUCUAAUCCCCAGCGUCUGUUCGCUUCCACAAAUAGAACCUUCUGUUGGAUGAAAUAAAAGCAAACACUGGGCCUUCUGCUCUGCCUCCACCUCCACGCCCCUCCCGCGCCUGCCGCCCGCCCGGAUUGCACGGAAAUAGCCUCUCCAAGCUCCUGGGCCGCCCCUUCGCGGUGACUCGCCGAAAGAGCUUCCUGAGCUCCGGCCGGUGGGAAACAAAGGAUGUGGGGAACUGGCGGAAGGGGCCCACGUGGCUGGCGCCAGAUUCCUGUCCCCUCCCGCCUGCAAUGCGCGCCCGAGGGUCUAGGGCGCCAGUGCGGCCAGGAGUAUUGGAUACUGGGGUACGGGUCAUUCUAUUCACUGCCAGGGAUACCAUCUGCACGCGGACAAGGUCGCAUGUAUACUUUCAUAUAGUUUGAGUUGUGUGCUCUUGAAACUGGCUGACCUUGCUCCCUGGAAACAGCUUGCAGUCACAUUUUGUGUUGCUGGGUUUUGUUUGGUCCCCCCCCCCCCCACUUCUUUCGCAAACCAGGUCAGUUUGGAGUCUCUGGAUCCUCACUUAGCAUAGAUGCCUAUUAUCAAAAUCCUUUCUUGCAAUUAUGCUGAAUAAUUAAUUUUCUAAAACCAGGUCAAACCCAAGAAUAAAUCCUUUUCAUCAUUAA
rnacentral:lncRNA from 1 species